rnacentral:rRNA from 1 species
AUUGAACGCUGGCGGCAGGCCUAACACAUGCAAGUCGAGCGGAUGAAGGGAGCUUGCUCCUGGAUUCAGCGGCGGACGGGUGAGUAAUGCCUAGGAAUCUGCCUGGUAGUGGGGGAUAACGUCCGGAAACGGGCGCUAAUACCGCAUACGUCCUGAGGGAGAAAGUGGGGGAUCUUCGGACCUCACGCUAUCAGAUGAGCCUAGGUCGGAUUAGCUAGUUGGUGGGGUAAAGGCCUACCAAGGCGACGAUCCGUAACUGGUCUGAGAGGAUGAUCAGUCACACUGGAACUGAGACACGGUCCAGACUCCUACGAGAGGCAGCAGUGGGGAAUAUUGGACAGUGGGCGGAAGCCUGAUCCAGCCAUGCCGCGUGUGUGAAGAAGGUCUUCGGAUUGUAAAGCACUUUAAGUUGGGAGGAAGGGCAGUAAGUUAAUACCUUGCUGUUUUGACGUUACCAACAGAAUAAGCACCGGCUAACUUCGUG